rnacentral:rRNA from 1 species
UACAGAGGUCUCGAGCGUUAGGCGGAAUCACUGGGCUUAAAGCGUGUGUAGGUGGAUCGUUAAGUACCUUGUGAAAUCCCACGGCUUAACCGUGGAACUGCUUGGUAUACUGGCGGUCUUGAGCCAGCUAGGGGCUACCGGAACAAAUGGUGGAGCGGUGAAAUGUGUUGAUAUUGGAAGGAACACCGGAGGCGAAAGCGGUGCACUGGGGCUUAACUGACGCUGAGGCACGAAAGCCAGGGGAGCGAACGGG